rnacentral:rRNA from 1 species
GAUGAACGCUAGCGGCAGGCUUAAUACAUGCAAGUCGUGGGGCAGCAUGAUGUAGCAAUACAUUGAUGGCGACCGGCAAACGGGUGCGGAACACGUACACAGCCUUCCUAUAAGUGGGGAAUAGCCCAGAGAAAUUUGGAUUAAUACCCCGUAACAUAACGAUGUGGCAUCACAUUGUUAUUAUAGCUUCGGCGCUUAUUGAUGGGUGUGCGGCUGAUUAGAUAGUUGGCGGGGUAACGGCCCACCAAGUCUACGAUCAGUAGCUGAUGUGAGAGCAGGAUCAGCCACACGGGCACUGGGACACGGGCCCGACUCCUACGGGAGGCAGCAGUAAGGAAUAUUGGUCAAUGGACGCAAGUCUGAACCAGCCAUGCCGCGUGAAGGAUUAAGGUCCUCUGGAUUGUAAACUUCUUUUAUCUGGGACGAAAAAAGGCGAUUCUUCGUCACUUGACGGUACCAGAUGAAUAAGCACCGGCUAACUCCGUGCCAGCAGCCGCGGUAAUAC